rnacentral:lncRNA from 1 species
CCUACAAGUCCAUGAGAGCCACUUGUGGGUGAUGAGGGACGGCAAGACAACAGUAGAGACAGCUUUGAUUUACCAGCACUUGACUUAAACCUCAGCCUUUGGUGGGAACUUGGUGUAAGGCUGCCGGCAGGACAAGCCAGGCUGCACGUGGUAGACGUCCUGACACAGCAGAGACUGGACCCGGGUUCCUGGAGAGGCAAUGGAUACUUGACACCUUCAUCCCCAGUACUUGGAUGUCCCUGAAGUGUGGUGGCCAAAUUUGAUUUUUGGCUCCAGAAAGGGACCGAUUCCACCCUUUGGCCUCUCUCUCCUUAGCCAGAAACUUGUGAAGGGAAAUAUAAGAAACACUCUCCUAGCAGGCCCAUCUCCUCCUCAGACACUACAGGAUGGACGCUUCAUUAAUGCAGCCAAACCUGCUCAUGUGACUGGAGCUGUGUGAUGGAGCAGAGAGUCUGGCUGUAUCAAGUGUUGAAGAACUGGGGUGAGAAACAAAGUAACAAAGACCCUUAGAGAUGGGGAGGACUUUCCGUGGUACUUGGGUGGCAAAGGGAAUGUCCUCAGCCUGGUGCUGGCAUUAGCAACUCACCGUCCAAAGAAGCAAGAUGGAGACUCCAAGUGAUACAUAUGGCCCUUUAGGAAUCCUGUGCCCAGACUUGACCUGGAUUCCUACAAAGCUGGGGAGCAGACCUCUAAUUCUCUUACCUAAAAGUUCAAAAGGCAGAGACCCAUCACCCUUCAGCUAUCCUGUCCCCAAAGGGAUGACCCGCAAAAUUUAAAGGACCAAAAUGUAGAAUACUGGGAGAAAAAAAAAUACUGGGGAGAGAGAAAAGGCAGGUCUUAGACAAUUACAGAGACAGCCUUGCUAGAGUCCUAAGUGCCAGGCAGGGGAGCACCAAGGAGACUGGGAGGAGCCUGUUUGUCUACUGACAGAAAUGUUGAUAAAGGGGAUAUCCCUAUGAUAUGGAGUAGAUACUCCCCUAAGUAUAAGCUGAUUUGUUCCCUUCUAAGACGGUAGCAGAAACUAGAGAGAAAUCCUUUGUAAAACUAGGAACAGAUUCCCUCAGACACAGAUCUGAACCUCUGUCAUCGGAAGAGUGCUGGAGGGCAGGUGGUCAGUGUAGUCAUGGCUGACUGUAGACUAUGGAAGACUAAGAUGUAGCUUAUGUAAUAGGAUGCUCACCUGUUCUGGAGACAGUGGGGCUAUGCUCGACUCCAGUACUGAAUGGACCAUGUAGAUAGGUUCCUGGGCUUCCUUGUAGAAAGGGGGGCAGAGCAGAAACCUUGUGGGGAGACCUGUUCUCUUGGUCAACCCUCUCAGUUCCAGCUACACCACAGGACGACCUAACUGGCUCAGGAAAAGGUCCACCAGAAUUAAGUCUGGAAGGCACAAUGGAGUCAACUUUGUACCAGACCUAGAGCCCUCAGAAGUGCCCUUGGGGAAGAGCCCAGCACCCGUAGGCAAAGGAGUGCAAACAUAGGAGAGGGGUGGAGCUGAUCUGCACUUAAGGUGAGACUUAGAACUGAUGUUGAAUGCAGACAGUAACUCGUAAAGUACUGGGUGUGAAUCGUGAAUCGGGGUGAGGAUUUGAAACCAUCCUGACUACCCCACCCUAGUCUGAAGUGGGUGGCUCCCAGAAGUCUUAGCCCCCACAAAGGAAGCCACGCUCACCUCACUUGUCCCCAUGGAGUGAAGGGAAGUCCCAUUUUGAGUGUUGUGUGUCAGUAACAGUGUUGUGUCACCUGUGGUCAUGUUGAAUAGUUGGAGAAUAAAGGGAAUACGAUUUCCUAGGUGUU